rnacentral:rRNA from 1 species
UACCAGCACCCCGAAUGGUCGGGACGAUUAUUGGGCCUAAAGCAUCCGUAGCCGGUUCUUUAAGUCCUCCGUUAAAUCCAUCUGCUUAACAGAUGGGCUGCGGAGGAUACUAUAGAGCUAGGAGGCGGGAGAAGCAAGCGGUACUCAGUGGGUAGGGGUAAAAUCCGUUGAUCCAUUGAAGACCACCAGUGGCGAAGGCGGCUUGCCAGAACGCGCUCGACGGUGAGGGAUGAAAGCUGGGGGAGCAAACCGGAUUAGAUACCCGGGUAGUCCCAGCUGUAAACGAUGCAGACUCGGUGAUGAAUAGGCUUAGUGCCUAUUCAGUGCCGCAGGGAAGCCGUUAAGUCUGCCGCCUGGGGAGUACGGUCGCAAGACUAGAAACUUAAAGGAAUUGGGCGGGGGAGCACCACGAAGGGGUGAAGCCUGCGGUUC